AAAUACGAUCAUUAAAAAACUGAAGCGAUGAUGGGUAUACCGUGUGUGUGGCUGUUCUAUUUUACCCACUGUUCAAUAAAUGUAAAACAAAUCUAAUAAACCUGCAUGAAUGAUUUCUAAACUAACCGCUAGAAAAAAAAAAUGUGAUUACUUUUUUUACUUCUCAGUAAACCCAACAUUUGCAAUUUUAAAUUUACAUUUUUUAUCGUAAGCUACUGUUAAAUUCACUGUUGACAUGUUGUAACCAAGGAGCCGCCAUGUUGACUUGCUGAAAUUAGUAAAUGUGCGAAUAAUGCAAUAGAACAGAAAACAAGCAACACCUAUCUCAAUACUUUAUUCUAAUGCAAUUCACGGUAUCCGAGUUUAGAAGGUAAACGCAAUAGAAAAACCUUCAGCUUUGACGUUUUCAUUCGUAUGACGUCAUGUUUUGAAAUGACGUUAAUGCGCCA
rnacentral:lncRNA from 1 species